AGGACAGGCCUGAGCUCAGGAGUACCAGGGCAGGUGUGGCUUAGCAGGAGCCCCAGCCAGCAAGAGCUUCUCUCUCGCCAACCCACCUCAGGCCUUUGUGGGUAGAACAGCCAAGCUGGGAGGGGACAGGGUCCUGGGAAAUCCCCUCCAAGGGUAUGAUGGUCAUAAUAGGCUUGUUGAGAGAAGAAGUGGGAAGCAGCACAGCAUGGGAAGUAGUCAUGUGCUGUGACCUUGGACCUUCAGACCUGGACUGGAAUCCACACCGACAGCCGUCUGGUUCUCAGGACUUGUAAUCACACCACCAGCGUUCCUGGGUCUCCAGCUUGCCUUUGGCAGAUCGUUGCCCAGCAUUAGCCCUGGAUUCUGAAAGGAAGGAAAGAAGGACAGAACAAAUGACUGCUGGGCCAUGUCCUGGAAUCGCGGAAACACCCCUGCCCAUGUGGAGUCUGUGGCUGAGGACCCUGGUUGGGGAGCCUGGAGUCUCCCCA